UACGAAGGGGGCUAGCGUUGUUCGGAAUUACUGGGCGUAAAGCGCGCGCAGGUGGUUUCUCAAGUCAGUGGUGAAAGCCCGGAGCUCAACUCCGGAACUGCCAUUGAAACUGUGGAGCUAGAGGACGAGAGAGGUGAGUGGAAUUCCCAGUGUAGAGGUGAAAUUCGUAGAUAUUGGGAAGAACACCGGUGGCGAAGGCGGCUCACUGGCUCGUUAUUGACGCUGAGGCGCGAAAGCGUGGGGAGCAAACAGG
rnacentral:rRNA from 1 species